GUUGGGGGCGGGGGGCGGGGCUGAGCGGCCUGGGCAGCCUAGCCUGGCCUGGGCGGGGGAGGCCAUGGCCUCGGCAGAGUUGCAGGGGAAGUACCAGAAGCUGGCUCAGGAGUACUCGAAGCUUCGAGCUCAGAAUCAGGUCCUGAAAAAAGGUGUUGUGGAUGAACAAGCAAAUUCUGCUGCUUUAAAGGAACAACUAAAAAUGAAGGAUCAGUCAUUGAGAAAACUACAACAGGAAAUGGACAGUUUGACCUUUCGAAAUCUGCAGCUUGCCAAGAGGGUAGAACUACUCCAAGAUGAACUGGCUUUGAGUGAACCCCGAGGCAAGAAAAACAAAAAAAGUGGAGAAUCUUCUCAGUUGAGUCAAGAGCAGAAGAGUGUCUUUGAUGAAGAUCUGCAGAAGAAGAUAGAAGAGAAUGAACGUUUGCAUAUACAAUUUUUUGAAGCUGAUGAGCAGCACAGGCAUCUGGAGGCAGAGCUGCGGAGUCGGCUGGCCUUGUUGGAGACGGAGGCGGCUCAGCACCAAGCAGUGGUCGACGGCCUGACGCGGAAGUACAUGGAGACCAUCGAGAAACUGCAGAACGACAAGGCUAAGCUAGAAGUAAAAUCUCAGACUUUAGAAAAGGAGGCCAAGGAAUGUCGACUCCGAACAGAAGAAUGUCAAUUGCAGUUAAAGACUCUUCAUGAAGAUUUGUCAGGUAGAUUAGAGGAAUCCUUAUCAAUCAUCAAUGAAAAAGUACCUUUUAAUGAUACAAGAUAUAGUCAUUAUAAUGCUCUGAACGUUCCACUCCACAAUCGGAGACAUCAGCUGAAGAUGCGGGAUAUUACUGGGCAGGCCCUGGCUUUUGUUCAAGAUCUUGUCACGGCUCUUCUGAACUUUCACACUUACACAGAACAGAAGAUUCAGAUUUUUCCUGUCGAUUCUGCCAUCGACACUAUAUCUCCGUUGAAUCAGAAGUUCUCUCAGUACCUUCAUGAAAAUGCGUCCUAUGUUCGCCCUCUUGAGGAAGGAAUGCUUCAUUUAUUUGAAAGUAUCACUGAGGAUACUGUGACUGUUCUGGAGACAACUGUGAAAUUGAAAACUUUUUCAGAACACUUAACCUCCUACAUAUGUUUUCUUAGGAAGAUUCUUCCUUAUCAGUUAAGAAGUUUAGAAGAAGAAUGUGAAUCUUCUCUUUGCACAUCUGCAUUAAGAGCCAGGAAUCUAGAGCUGUCCCAGGAUAUGAAAAAGAUGACAGCUGUGUUUGAGAAGCUCCAGACUUAUGUUGCUCUUCUCGCCUUGCCAAGUACAGAGCCAGAUGGACUCCUUCGGACAAACUAUAGUUCUGUCUUAACAAACGUUGGUGCUGCUCUGCACGGAUUUCAUGAUGUGAUGAAAGAUAUUUCCAAACAUUAUAGUCAAAAAACUACAAUAGAGCAUGAACUUCCAACAGCCACACAGAAGCUAAUAACAACUAAUGACUGUGUCCUGUCAUCAAUAGUGGCAUUAACAAAUGGAGCAGGAAAGAUUGCAUCUUUCUUCAGCAAUAACGUGGAUUAUUUCAUUGCUUCACUGAGCUAUGGGCCUAAGGCAGCGAGUGGAUUCAUUAGUCCUCUUUCAGCCGAGUGCAUGCUGCAGUACAAGAAAAAAGCUGCUGCCUAUAUGAAGGCUUUGAAAAAGCCCCUCUUGGAGUCUGUGCCUUAUGAAGAAGCACUGGCAAACCGCCGGGUUCUUCUGAGCUCUACUGAAAGUCGGGAAGGCCUUGCACAACAGGUUCAGCAGAGUUUGGAGAAGAUAUCUAAACUGGAACAGGAAAAAGAACAUUGGAUGCUGGAAGCACAGUUAGCCAAAAUCAAGCUAGAGAAGGAAAACCAGCGAAUUGCAGAUAAGCUGAAGAGUACAGGCAGUGGGCAGUCGGUCGGGCUGGCCCAGGAGAGUGCUGGUGGGUUGAGUUCCGCGGGCCUCGAGGAAGCUGCAGCCAAGGCUGUGUCAGAGCCCCUUCAGAGCACCAGUCUGAUUGGAAUUUUAACCAAGACAUCUGACAGCAAGGUUCCAGAUGUGGAAUCUCGGGAAGACCUAAUUAAAAAUCACUACAUGGCAAGGAUAGUGGAGCUUACAUCUCAACUGCAGCUGGCUGACAGUAAGUCAGUGCAUUUUUAUGCUGAGUGCCGCGCACUCUCUAAAAGACUGGCCUUGGCUGAGAAAUCUAAAGAGACGUUGACAGAAGAGAUGAAACUAGCUAGUCAGAACAUCAGCAGACUUCAGGAUGAGUUGACAACUACUAAGAGGAGUUAUGAGGAUCAGUUAAGUAUGAUGAGUGACCACCUGUGCAGCAUGAACGAGACUUUAUCAAAACAGAGAGAAGAGAUUGACACACUGAAGAUGUCCAAUAAGGGAAAUUCUAAAAAGAACAAGAGUCGAUAGUUUACAAAUAGCUGGUUGGCGACCGUUCGUUCCAGAGCGGCUGUGCCGCACGGGGCUCCGGAACCAAGACUCCACGUCCAGUGCUGGGCUCAGCCUGCGGGAAGCUGAGGUGUUGCUGGACUCGUCGACUAGUGUUUAUCCAGUGCCUGUUAUAUAUCAGACACUGUCCUAAGUGCUGGGAUACAAAAACGGACAAAAUACUUGCCCUCAUUGAGCUAUCUUAGCAUGGGGAAUAGACAGGUAAGCUAAACAUACAAUGUGUGUUAAGCUUAUAAGUGCUGAGGAGAAAAUACAAAGACAGGAAGAGGGGUUAGGGAGUUGGUGGGAUGUUGUGCUAUUAGAUAGACCAGGAAGCCCCCACAGAAAUGUGUCAUUUGAAUAAAGAAGGAGAUGAGGGCAUUAUGUAGAUAUCUGAAAUCAGGCAGCAAGAGUAGCAAAUGCUGAAACACAGGUGCAAAAUGAUGUCAUAGGAAGUUUUCCAAAUCAUGACUCCACUGGAAAAAAACUAUCAGUUUUUCUCUAGAACCAGAAUGGACAUUGAAAACAACUACAGGAAUCAGUGACCACCCUCCAUUGCUCAGCCUGGAUUCCGAGAGCAGCCAGCUGAGGCCAGGGCUGGCAGAGGAAACCUCCUCCAAAAGUUGGGGUUGAGGAUUGAGGUCAGUCUGAGGGAUCCCUGAGGGACCAGUGCAGAAGCUGGUCUGUUUCAGCCUUCUGGGCAGCAGCACUUCCAGCCUCCCAUCAGAAUCCACCUGGGCAUAAAGAGCUAGUGCACCGUCCUUGGCUGAUUUAUUAUUAUUAUUAUUAUUUUUUUCUCUUCUGGGUGUAGGCACUUCCUAGCCUGGCAUGCCCCUGAGGGCCUAGCACAGACUCUGUCCUUGGCUUCAGCCCUUUCCAUGGCAGUGGCUUCUGGCCUCACACCAGAAUCCACCAGGACUUAAAGACUCAGUGCUCUUUUUUGUUGGUUUCUUCUCUCUCGUGUUGCUUAGCCUGGUGGAUCCCUGAGAGCCCAGCACAGAUGCUAGGCUCAGUUUCUCUCAGAGGCAGCAAGCAGCAGCUUCUGGCCUUAAGCUAGCAUCUGUCAGGACAUAAAGAGGUAGUGCACCUGUUUUCUUUUUUCUUUUUCUUUUCUGUUCCUUUUUCUUUUGGUUGGUUGGUUGGUUUUUUCAUUCUCUGUUUUGUAUGUUUGGGUCUUGCAGGUCCCUGAGGGAUGACCGAGGACACUGGCCUAGGUUUCAGCCUCAACAUCAGUACCUCCUGGCUUCCCACUGGCACAUAACAAGAGAUAUGGAAAGGCAGUGCAUUUCAUUUUUUUUCCUUAGUUUUUUUGGUUUGUGUGUGUGUGUGUGUGGGAGGGUGUUUUCUGUUUGCUAGUAGUUUUUUCUUUCCCCCUUCUCUCUUCCCUUCUCCCCUCCCCCUUUUUCUUUCUUUCUUUUUUUUCUUCUUGUUCUUAGUCUAGCAGACUGAGAGUGGGAGAACUAGAUUUCCAGAGUGGCCAUAACAUUAAUACUCUGAAUGUCCAUUUCUCAACAAAAAAUUACAAAACAUACAAGGAGACAGGAAAGUCUGGCCCAGUCACAGGAAUAAAAAGAAUUUGAUGGAAGCACAGUCUCUGGAAUUAAUCAAAGAUCUUAAAACAGCUGUCAUAAAUCACUGAACUGAAGGAAAACAUGGACAAAGAACUAAAGGAAAUCAGGAAAAAUGUAUGAACAAAAUGAGAAUUUCAAUAAUGAGAUAGAAAUUAUAAAGAAAAACCAAAUGGAAAUUCUGGAACUCAAAAGAAAAAUUAAUGAAGUGAAAAUUCAAUAGAGAGGUUCAAGAACAGAUUGGAGGAGGCAGAAGAAAUGAUCAGCAAACUUGAAGAUAAAACAGUUGAAAUUGUACUUGUUGAGCAGAAAGAAAAAAGAAUGAAAAAAAAAAUGAACAGAGCCUGAGGAACUUGUGGGACGUCAUCAAGCAUACCGAUACAUGCACAGAAGCUGUGGUGGUUUGAAGCUGUAUGUACCCCCAGAAAAACAUGUUUUUAAACCUCCAUUCCUGUGGGUGUGUAAGUAGGACCUUUUCCUGAGGUUAUUUCAGUUAAGGCAAGAACCACCUCAGUCAGGAUAGGUCUUAAUCCUAUUACUGGAGUCCUUUAUCAAUGAAUUAAUUCAGACAUGAGGGAGACAAAGCCACAGAUGGAGCAGCCAGAAGCUGGACUUAAGUGGAACCCAGAGACACUGCCAUGUGCCUUGCCAUGUGACAAACUAAGGACCCAGCAUCAUUGGCAGCUGGCCCCAGAAGUCACAGCCUUUGGGGAGAAAGCAUUGCCUUGAUGAUGCCUUGAUUUGGACUUUUAGCCUCAAAACUGGAAGCUGUAGAUUCCCAUUGUUUAAGCCAGACGAUUUCAUGGUAUUUGCUUCAGCAGCCUAGGAAACUAAAACAGAAGCCCAGAAGGAGAUGGAACUUAUCAGCAUGGUUAUUUGAUGUUUUCCUGACAGUACUCGGCAGGUUAGGCACAGCUGCAGUGAAAACAGCUGGUUCAAUUGAUAGAGAACUGGAAAAGGGAAGGGCAGGGCACAGAAAACUGAUGAAAGAGAGUACAAAGGGGCUGUGACUUGAAGAGUGAGAAGAGUGGGAUUGAACCGACUGACCAAGAGACCGCCAAGGCAGGAUUCAACCAAGAGACGCUAAAGAAAGUUUUGCAGGUUAAAAGGAAAGUUAAAUAGGCAAUAGAUCAAAGCCACAUGAAGAAAUAAAGAUCUCUGGUGAUCAUAAUGACACAGGUAAAUAAAGAUGCCAGUACUAUUGUACAUUUGGUUUACAACUCCACUUUUUGCUUCCUACAGGAUCUAAAAGGCAAAUGCAAUGGUUUUGAACUCAACGUAUAAACAUAAUUUGUGACGAGAACUAAUAAAGGUGGAGAGACAGAGGAGUUUAGGAACAUAGUUUGUGUAUAUACCUGGUUAAAUUGUAUCAAGCAAACAAGAUUGUGAAAGAGUUACAGUGUUGUGUUUUAGCUCUAUUAUAACUACGAGGAAAAUAUCAGAGAAAAUGCAAGCUCAUAGAGACUGAAAUUAGAGUAAUGGAAGGUGGUGAGGGUACUGCAAUAUAGUGAAUGUGAUUAAUCUCACCAAGUGGUAUCCUUGGGAAUGGUGAGGUGGGAAAUUGUAAUUUAAAAAGAGAGAGGGAGCAACUAAAGAGACAAUGACAACUAAAGGCAAUACACAGUCCUGGGUGGAUCUAGCAAGGAAGGAGAAAAGGCUCAAAAGGACAUUAUUGGGAUAAAUGAAAAAAAUUGGAAUAUUGACUAUAAGUUUUAUAUGAAU